rnacentral:rRNA from 1 species
CAGAGAUGCUUUGGUGCCUUCGGGAACUCUGAGACAGGUGCUGCAUGGCUGUCGUCAGCUCGUGUUGUGAAAUGUUGGGUUAAGUCCCGCAACGAGCGCAACCCUUAUCCUUUGUUGCCAGCGGUUAGGCCGGGAACUCAAAGGAGACUGCCAGUGAUAACUGGAGGAAGGUGGGGAUGACGUCAAGUCAUCAUGGCCCUUACGAGUAGGGCUACACACGUGCUACAAUGGCGCAUACAAAGAGAAGCGACCUCGCGAGAGCAAGCGGACCUCAUAAAGUGCGUCGUAGUCCGGAUUGGAGUCUGCAACUCGACUCCAUGAAGUCGGAAUCGCUAGUAAUCGUGGAUCAGAAUGCCACGGUGAAUACGUUCCCGGGCCUUGUACACACCGCCCGUCACACCAUGGGAGUGGGUUGCAAAAGAAGUAGGUAGCUUAACCUUCGGGAGGGCGCUUACCACUUUGUGAUUCAUGACUGGGGUGAAGUCGUAACAAGGUAAGCGUAGUGCU